AGCUGGGGUAGCUCAAUUAGUUGAGCAUGAGACUUUUAAUCUCAAGGUUGUGGGUUCAAGCAUUGCAGGGAGUUG